UUUAGGGCUUUAUCGAAGACCUUUUUGUGCUCUCCAAUGUAUGAAUAGGUUCAAAAUGAAGCCCAAAGCAAUUUUUGUUACGACGGUCACUGAUUUUGUUGGAUACCACGCAAUUUCAGUAACUUUUCGUGCAAUAACAUUG